UGAUAGUUCCAGUAAGAUAUGUUUGAUAUUCUUGGUUGUUAUAAUUGUACUUUCACCCAGGAAUCAAACAUAUUAUUACUGUGAUUAAUC
rnacentral:pre_miRNA from 1 species